ACACGUGCUGGGAGUGUAGCUCAGUGGUAGACUACUACUAGGUUCAAUCCUUAGUAAAAAAGCAUAUAUAUUUUUUUUCAUUUGAAAGGGGAGCAGAAAAAGGGUGUAGGACCCAGAGAAUGAUGUAGGGGGAAGUUGUUAUUGUGUUAGCAAUGGGAGAGUCACAUGCAUAUUUUUGUUGCUAAUGAAAGGACAAGAUAAAAUGCCCAAGGGAGGAGCUGGGAUCCAGAGCACAAGUACAAUAGCAGCCUUCAGUAAGAGAGAUGCCCUUUCUAUAAGGAAGUAAAGAGGGGGGAAAUGGGUGCAAGCACAGUUGUCUGUGGGUUUGAUGGAGAACGUCAUGUGGGUCUCUGUCAAACAUCACAUGAAUCCAAAGUGUCUAUAAUGAUGUUUGGCAUAGAGAAGGCACUUUAGAAAUGUUUGGUUAGAGAUUUUUUUGAAUCUGGUCUUGAACAAAUUUAAUGAUGCAG
rnacentral:lncRNA from 1 species